UGGCCAAAGAGUUUAAUCCAGGCACUUCUCAAAGCAGCCUGAUUUUCCUAAGUACAAAGUGCUGAGCUGCUGUGUAUGUUAUGGGCAGCUCCUGGUAGGGAAACCCCUGUGCGUGUGAUGCUGCCCAGAUCUCUGUUAAAUUUUCUCAAUCAACCUGCACAACACCUUCCUCCUUUCUUAUUUGGUUUCCCUUUCAAAACCCAGCCCAGAAUCAUUGAACUGUCCCCUGUUAGGCUUUGAGAAAGCCUUUGAACAACUUCACUCAGAGGUACCUUUAUGCUCUCCAGUCAGUGGGACCACAUCACAUUUAGGAAUUGGCUAGGGAAACUGACCCUUGGCAUGAGCUUGAUUGCAGCAUAUGUGAGACAGAACUCCUAUCUGUAUCCCCUCUCCUGUGACUGCUCCACAGUUAGUGCAGUAUGUGCAUUUGCCUGAUUUUUCAGGUGUGAUGUUUGCACUGUCCUGAUGUGUUGUGGCUAUAUAAAGAGAGCCCCUAAUCCUCCCUUGACUGCUUAUAUCUCCCAGCAGAUAAAUACUCUAUAUAUGAAUCUUGGCUGUCCCAUACACCAGAGCUUGUGAACUUUAAGUGGAUUUCAGGCUCUUAAAGGAGGAAACUGGUGAAUUCAGGAAAGAUACAAUCAGCAAAAUAGCAGCUUAAUUUCUUUUUUGUGUCUAAUUUUGUACUGAAUUUACUCUAGAAGAGCUUCUAGUCACUUGAUUGCCAAGUACAAUCAUCACUAGUAUUUAAGAUAACCUCUGUAGGAGAGAGGAGGCAUGGAAUAGCUAGAGGCUGCCCUGACUUUUUAGGGACAGCUUGUGUCCCUUUUAUUUGCUGCAUCCCAGAUGAGCUGUGAAAAUCUCAAGAUGUUUGGUGCCUCUGCCAUCAGUUCUAAUCUUCCUUCCUUAUUUAAAUUGCCACUAUAAUCAAACUUUUCAGUAAUAGGUUACUUAUAUUCUGGCAUUCUCCUUUGCAGCAGAGAAUGCCAGACUGUGGCGGGGGCAGGUGUAUACAUUACGUGUAACGGUGAAGUGUUUCCAACAUGGAGAGGAAAGGGGAGUGGGGGUGGGAGGGAAGGGAAGGAAACACCUUGCCGAGCCUGCUUCUGUAGGCAAAUUGAUCUGCAAACAUGCAACUGCAAAUGUGCUGAGGGAAAGCAGCCUGUCAGUCUUGGGCAACAUCAGUCGACCACGGUUGAAGAAGAGAUUGCAAGGCCAAGUGUGGGGUUAAGGAAAGGUGUGCUGUGGAACCAUCUUUGGAGUAGGGAGGAGGUAGGUGAGAGGAGACUUGGUGAAGAUGGAAGUGGAUUUGGGUUAUUAUUGUACAACACUAGAGAUGGGAACAUGAUACUUCUUCCAAAGUGCAUACAAUCUGUUUUCAGCAGGCAUUAUAUAACAAAGAGGGGGAAUGGAGGAAGUAACGAGCAGAGGAGGUUUGGGGAGAAAACUGGCUGACAAGGCUGUAAUAACAAUGGCUACAUAUUUGCCAAAGGGACGUGUCCACCAAGAGAGAGAAGGUUACGCUGAGGCUUUAACGUACUUUAAAAAAUAAAGGACUCUGACUUCUCCAGUCACACCCAUGCUCUUCCUGAGGAGCUUUCGAGUCUGUAAAUGUGGAACUGUCUUUCUUAGUGAUAUCAGUUUAUCUGUAUCAUUCCUGUAAGAGAGCAAGACUAUAAAAACAUAGAAGAGCCUUGGUUAUUAAGUGGGGACACAGGCUAAUACAACUAACCUCUCACCACGAGCUUCCUACACGACCCGUGGUGGCUUGGAAAAUUACCUUCAAGUGCCAGCUCCUGACGGGAAUGCGUUGAGGUACGAGUUUCCCAGUGUCUUUUUGGGAACUGACAUCUGUAUGAAAAAUAAACCUUUCUCCCA